UGAGCAGGCGGAUCCAUCGUGUGCCCGGCAUGGACUUGGUGCUCACCACGCGGUACUUGCCGCUGGGGUUCCACACCUGGAUGGAGACGGGCUUCGCCAUGGCUGCACCUGCAGAGAGGUUCUCUCUCUCUCUCUCUCUCUCUCUCUCUCUCUCUCUCUCUCUCUCUCUCUCUCUCUCUCUCUCUCUCUCUCUCUCUCUCUCUCUCUCUCUCUCUCUCUCUCUCUCUCUCUCUCUCUCUCUCUCUCUCUCUCUCUCUCUCUCUCUCUCUCUCGCCGGCCUUAUCAGGGGGCGGGCAGACAGGCGCCAGAAAUUUCAUUUUCGUUUUCUCCUCCUUUUAAGAUAGGAAGGGUGGUGGAUAACAGACAAGUGGCCGGCCUUAUCAGCAUUUCCCUUAUCUCCUUGACAACCACGAGUAGACCGUUGGCACAACAACCAGCCAUGGAGGCAAAUCAUCAUAAGAUCCACUUUUAUAUAUGUAUUAUGAGAUAUUAACUAGUAACAAGUCCAGACAGACGAACUAGCACCCACCAGCUUGACAUACAUCCAAUCCAAAAAAGGAUACAACCAUCACGACCAUUAUACUACUAUUUCACUACUAUUUCGUAAGUAGAUAGACUAGCAUUGUAGAGUGCAGUGCAGACAUCCAUCUGUUCUUGUAAAAGAACCACCACCAUCACCAGGGAAAGGAAGACAACAAUCACUCGAAGGCCCACUGGUUCUCCAUGCGGAUCUCAUCCUCCUCCUCUUGGGUGAAGUCGUUCUUGAUGCUGAAUGUCUUGCGGAUCUCCUCCGGAGUCUUGCCCUUGAUCAUGUCAGCAACCGUCUGGCAGGUCAGGUCCAGCAAUCCCUUGAUGUUCAGAUAGUUGGCAGCCUGAAAAUACAGUUCCAUUAUGUCAACCAGCAAUGGCAGAAAAUAACACAAAUCACGUCCAAUUACAUGUGGAUUGAAGUGUAUUGGAAUGAAUUUGGAUGGAUUUAAACCGACUCAAUACCACCCAAUCCACGUGGCGGUCAAACGAACAAUCCCCAAAGUGUGCAAAAGUCGCAAGUACAAGCCAAAUUCUGUCUGACUAGCUAGUUAAAUUAUCUCACUGCAAACCAAAUAUCAUCCCCGCCUGUAGCUAGCUUGAUACGGGUGCAUUGUUGUUACGAAUAAUAGCAACAGCAUGAUUUAUCAACAGUGUUCCUAGCCACAUCACAGUUUUUGUGGUUGAUUGAUUCCAGAGCAGCAGGGGCUAGUACAACAUCUCUUAUGAGAUAAAAAAAAUUGAUUGGUUACGGACCUCCACCACGACGCACAACCAAUCAAUCAAUAUAUACUGAUCUAAUCCGAACCCUAGAAAGACAGUAGCAGAUCUAAUCUAACCUAUACAUAGACAGGAAUCGCAAAAGAAGCAAGGGGAGGGGAGGUUACCGACCAGGAUGAGGUCGAAGAGCGUAGCCUGGUCCACCUUGACGAACUUCGCGUCCCAGCUCUUGAGGUCCUCGCCGCCCUCGGAGGCAGCGGAGUCAGCGGGUUUGGCGGCGGCGUGGACGUGACUGUUGCAGUACUCGAUGACCUUAGAGAGGAUCCUGGAGUUGACGUUGGGGAGCGGGAUGCCGUUGUCGGCGCAGUCGUCCUCGAUCAUGUGGCGGAGAGUCUGCGACUCCAUGGCCACCGCUUCCUCCACCUCGAACUCCUCUAAGUCGGAGCUCCUGAGCGUGAUCAUCCUCUUGUUUUCGCCCUCGGACGCCAUCGAUGGAUCGACGAGAGAUGAGGCGACGAAACCCUAGCUAGUUGCAGCGAUUUGAUCUGUGAUGGUCGAUUGCGAGGGAAACGCCUCUCCUGACUACUUUUCCUUCGAUUCGCCUGCCCUGCCCUCUUUAGUUUGGCCUCAUAAGUUAUUUAUGAAAGGUAGCCGGCAAUGAACAGAUUUAGAGGUGUUUGAAUGCACUAGAGCUAAUAGUUAGUCGCUAAAAUUAGUUAAGACAUCCAAACACUCUAGCUAAUAGUUUAGCUAUUAGCUAUUUUUGAUAAAUUAAUUAAUAGUUAGAUAGUUAUUUGUUAGCUAUCUAAUUCUACUAACAAUUUUUAGUCAACUAACUAUUAGUUCUAGUACAUUCAAACACUCCAAAUCUAAAAUAAAUUAUAUUUUAAGAUGGUGUGAGUAUUAUAUUAAUUAUCUUAUAUAAUAAUAAUUAUAAUAACCAAAUUAUCCUGCACCUAUGAUUAUAUAUAUAGUUAUUAUUAUUCAUUAUAAUUUGUUUUUUAGAAUAAUAUUUAUUUUAGGAUAUUAGUAUAUGCAUUCUAGAUUCAUUGUUAUCCAUUUAAAUAUGGACAUAAAAAUAAAAGCUAGAACGGACUAAGUAUAUUUUAUCGUGGUGUAGGAAUCCUCAGUAAUAACACUUAGACAGUCAGUAGUUUACUCAUAGUUUAAUUAAAACAUUAUUUAUAGAUUACACUAUUCGUAGAGUUUAAUAGUAGAGUUUAAAUGUAGAGUAGAGUUUAAUAGUUUACUUAAAACACUAUUUAUAUACUUUUCUGCACUAUAAACUACACUAUUGUAGAGUUAAAUAUAAGUAGGAUGGGUAAGCUACUAAAGAUAGUCUUGGGUACAAACAAUUCUCAUGCUGCCGAUUCUUGCACUUUAUUUUUUUCUGUUUAUAGGGCCAAAUUUUGUUAUUCUCUCCAUAAGAAAAAACUGUGGCCAUGACCAGAUGAGCUAUCCGCGACUAGUAGUAUAUAGCAUACACUCCCUUUUGUGUAUCCUGCUACUGCCAGUGCUCAAAGAAAAAAAACAAAUGGUACACCGGGACACAUUUAUUAAUGGUCAGUCAUCACAGAUGUAGAUGUUCUUGUUACAGAUAACAAUUCUGGAACAAAAAAUCCCUUUUAUUUACAUGUACUGAAACAAACGGGGGUUCUUGUUGGCGCACAUCCUCACUCAAGGCGCACAUCCUCAAUUACUAUAGCUUAGCCUGCCCAAUGGAAACAGAUCAUGGUAGAGAAACCAAAAUCUGUUAAACUUCCUCGAUGACAAAAGCUGUAGAUUCAUAAUUGCAGGUGACAAGGGCAACCCUCGAAGAGAAUACAGUAGCUGAACAAAUGUAAAAGAAGGGAGAAAUCGACAGCAGCACCUGCAUCCGAGUGAGGACUGGGGCUCUCGCCCUUGAAGCCGUUUGCUGAGUGAGCUGGUAACCUCAACUCAGUGU
rnacentral:lncRNA from 1 species